AACGAACGCUGGCGGCAUGCCUAACACAUGCAAGUCGAACGAGACCUUCGGGUCUAGUGGCGCACGGGUGCGUAACGCGUGGGAACCUUCCCUUAGGUUCGGAAUAACUCCCCGAAAGGGGUGCUAAUACCGGAUAAUGUCUUCGGACCAAGGAUUUAUCGCCUUUGGAUGGGCCCGCGUUGGAUUAGCUAGUUGGUAGGGUAAAAGCCUACCAAGGCGACGAUCCAUAGCUGGUCUGAGAGGAGGGUCAGCGACACUGGGACUGAGACACGGCCCAGACUCCUACGGGAGGCAGCAGUGGGGAAUAUUGGACAAUGGGCGAAAGCCUGAUCCAGCAAUGCCGCGUGAGUGAUGAAGGCCUUAGGGUUGUAAAGCUCUUUUACCCGGGAUGAUAAUGACAGUACCGGGAGAAUAAGCUCCGGCUAACUCCGUG
rnacentral:rRNA from 1 species